GUGCCAGCCGCCGCGGUAAUACAGAGGGUGCGAGCGUUAAUCGGAAUUACUGGGCGUAAAGGGUGCGUAGGUGGUUGAAUAAGUUAGGUGUGAAAGUCCCGGGCUUAACCUGGGGAUUGCGCCUAAUACUGUUUAGCUAGAGUACUGUAGAGGGAGGUGGAAUUUCCGGUGUAGCGGUGAAAUGCGUAGAUAUCGGAAGGAACAUCAGUGGCGAAGGCGACUUUCUGGACAGAUACUGACACUGAGGCACGAAAGCAUGGGGAGCAAACAGGAUUAGAUACCCCGGUAGUCC
rnacentral:rRNA from 1 species